rnacentral:tRNA from 1 species
ACUAUUUUGGCAGAUUUAAUGCAAUAAAUUUAGAAUUUAUAUAUGUAGUUUUUAUUACAAAUAGUA